rnacentral:lncRNA from 7 species
ACGUGUAUAUGAACUGAAGGAAUCUGAGUCAAAUGAGCAGGCUGUGCAGCUUUCCUGAGGUUUGUGAAAAAUCAAAAUGCAGUAACUUGUUAGACCUGUGUGAGGAGGAAUAGAGAACAUAUAUUUCUAGCCUGUCAUAGAACGGUGUGGAUUAACACAGAAGCAAGAAAAGAGCCUCAGAUGUUCUUGCAAAACUGUGACAAAACACCUUUGCAAAACGUGAUGACCUCAGUUCUACUGUGGUAGAAUAAAACAAAAUCAGAGGUUGGAAAAAAAUGGCAACUCGUGGUAUAAAGAGGUUAAGAAAUUGAAGUAUUAAUAUUCAAGUAUCAAAGAGUUUACAGGAAGGUUCCUGAAGAAGAUCUGGAGAAUUCAACUGAAAAUAGAAAAUCCGUUCUUUUUACCUGAGCCUGUAUCUGUGUAUUUAGGAAUAAACACAGUUUUUGUUUCGUAUUUUUACAACAGCUGUUUGGGUAACCUAAAGCACACAGACCGCGAUGCUGGUAUUUACGAGGCCUGCACUCCAAGGCUGUGAGUGCAACUGGAGCUAAAGGAGCCUUGCUGUUCUGCUGGGGCUUUAUGAAAACUUCAGGAGCAUUUGACAAGUUUUACUCUAUUCAGUGGGAGGAAAAAAGGAAAUGUACUUGUAGUUUUUAAGCUUUACAGAAUGAUUAGGUUUUAAUUUAGCAAAACUAUCCUAGACAAACAUAGUGUAUUUCUUUCUUAUAGUCAAAAUAAGAAGCGCCUAUGGUAGAAAGAGUACUGUGCAAAACUUGCUCUAGUGGAUGUGAGAGCUUUUGAGUCUGACAGUUUAAGUAGCGAAGACGAAAGUGAGGACAGUUCUUGGGCAGGGGACUUGAAGAGGAAUGUGAUUCAUGGGGCAUAGUGACUGGCGUAAUUACCAGUGCAGCUGCUGUAGUAAUUUCUGCCAGUGCUAAAAAAGCCUGUCAUGGCCUGUACUCUGCUGGUCAGAGUGUAAGUGAUAACGAUGGCAGCAGCAGUGCCAACUCCAGGCUGCUGUAUGCGAUUGGAGCAGUUUCUGCUAGGUUUCAAAUUGAUAUAAAACCUUCACAGGAUUUCCUGAAGUGUUCAGGCUGAGGAAAAACUUUGGAAUUGGGAGUGGCAAGGUUUUGUUAUGUGUUUUCUGUGAGGAAUAGUAAGAGUAGUGAUACAGAGGGAUUUAAAUAAUCUGAUAAUGAGUAAAACCUGUCAAAUUCAGGCAAGGAAAACCAAGGACUUGAGCACCUUCAAUUUUAACAUUAUCAGCACAAAAGGUUUGUAAGAAAUCCAUUUGCUUCAGUAUUCUAUUAAAUAAGGUUUUAAACUU